UCUUUCUCUGUUGGUACAGGAUUAAAAUGUGCCCGGCCUGACAAUGAAACAGCAGAGCCAUCGCACAUUGUUAUGCAACUCACUGUCUGCAAGGGUGGCUUGUAGCUCCUUCUUUAUUCAGCAAGUGCCAAGUGCAUGUUUAAUCAAUGUCACAGCUCACCACAGUGUGCAACUAAAGCCACCGUCAUUCCUCUCUUCAGAUUUGCCUGGCUGAGUUAUGCAAUGCUCCGAAGAAUACCUUGGAAUUCUUUCCAGAGGCUCUGAAUGCAGGUGUGUGACAGCAUUCACACUACUGCCAGCAAGGCAGACUUCUUUUCAUCCUUUUUCGGGCUGGACUAAAAUUACAUAGUGUGACUGCACGUAGUUCGCUGCAUUUGGAAUUACAGCAUGUCAACGUGAGAAAGCCUCCUCAGACGGCUGCCACAAAGAGUAAAUCAAAGGCUGGGUUUUUCUGAAGUCUUAAUAAAUAACUAAGUAUAACUGAAUAAAACCGGGAGCUGUUUGUAUUUUUUUAAGACAGAACAGCAUGCAUUUUGUUGCUCUGCAUCAUCUAAGGAAAAAAAGCCACAGUUUUAAGGGGAAUUAGUCAACAGUGAGGAUCAUUACGAGAAAAAGCUUUACUGUUUUUGACUACACUUGCUUUAGUGGAUUACUGAAGGAGAACAUCAGUCAUUUGGAAGAUUCUGUAACAUUAUUAUCCUCACUGAUAAACUUCUUCAUCAAGAAACUGCUCGUGCUCCUAUCUGAUCUGUCUGAGUGAGGAGAGCAGCCCCUUCAUGAAGAUAAAAGCCUGGCUUGCCACUGAAUCGACGAGUAAGAAGCAUGUCUGAUGACAUUUUAUUCCUGAUGCAAUGUAGGCUAGCUGCCAGAAUACUGGUGAAGGUAUUUGCAGGAAAAAUGGGGACCUCUGCCAUCACAACACUGGAAGAUGUAAAAAGGCGAGAGGAAAAAGAGGAAAAAGAAGAAUCUAUUCUAGCACUGCUUGGAAUUAUUGGAACUGUGCUCAAUUUAUUUGUUAUUGUUUUUGUGUAUAUCUACACUACACUUUGAUGACAUUUUUGAAUAUCAAUUGCACAUCACACAGUGCAAAGACCUGCGAUGGCAAGAAAGAUUUCUAAAUUUAAAGCAAAAAACCUCCACUGUCUGAAAGGAUUAUCAAAAACAUUCCAGAGCAAAGUGUCUGGCUAAGGGUGCUGCAUCAAUGACUGCUCAAUGUAUCUGUAAGCCCAGUCAGGGUGCUACAUUAUGUAAAUGAAGGCAGACGAUAUUCAACUUCUCGUUGGUAACAGAUGAAAUCCAAAUAGCAGAUCAGAGAUGGCACUCUUUUACUGCCAGCAAACAUGCAAGACAGAAACGUAAGCAAACACUGAAAAUAAGCAGAACAUAGAAAGACAUAAAUUAAAUAUAUAAAUAAAUAUAAGCAAGCCCCCAUGAUGCUUUCUAUGGUUCUAUGCAGUAUGUGUCUUCAUAGCUGAGACCAGAAAACAGACAAAAAGGGGUUUAUUUUUAGACCACCAUAAUUUAGGCUUAUAAGUUACAUUAAUGUAUAAUAAGUGUGGAAACAGGAACACUGUUAUACCAGAAGUUGUAAUACUAUAAAUAAAAUUUUAACUAUUGACUAUA